UGCCAAUGCCAUGUUCAGAGUGGAGGUCGAC
rnacentral:piRNA from 1 species